UUAAGUUAUUAAGGGCGCACGGUGGAUGCCUUGGCACUAGAAGCCGAAGAAGGACGUUACUAACGACGAUAUGCUUUGGGGAGCUGUAAGUAAGCGUUGAUCCAGAGAUUUCCGAAUGGGGAAACCCAACAUGAGUUAUGUCAUGUUAUCGAUAUGUGAAUACAUAGCAUAUCAGAAGGCAGACCCGGAGAACUGAAACAUCUUAGUACCCGGAGGAAGAGAAAGAAAAAUCGAUUCCCUGAGUAGCGGCGAGCGAAACGGGAAGAGCCCAAACCAACAAGCUUGCUUGUUGGGGUUGUAGGACACUCUAUAUGGAGUUACAAAAGUAUAUAUUAGACGAAUCAUCUGGAAAGUUGAAUCAAAGAAGGUAAUAAUCCUGUAGUCGAAAAUAUAUACUCUCUUGAGUGGAUCCUGAGUACGACGGAGCACGUGAAAUUCCGUCGGAAUCUGGGAGGACCAUCUCCUAAGGCUAAAUACUCUCUAGUGACCGAUAGUGAACCAGUACCGUGAGGGAAAGGUGAAAAGUACCCCGGAAGGGGAGUGAAAGAGAACUUGAAACCGUGUGCUUACAAGUAGUCAGAGCCCGUUAAUGGGUGAUGGCGUGCCUUUUGUAGAAUGAACCGGCGAGUUACGAUUUGAUGCAAGGUUAAGCAGUGAAUGUGGAGCCGUAGCGAAAGCGAGUCUGAAUAGGGCGUUGAGUAUUUGGUCGUAGACCCGAAACCAGGUGAUCUACCCUUGGUCAGGUUGAAGUUCAGGUAACACUGAAUGGAGGACCGAACCGACUUACGUUGAAAAGUGAGCGGAUGAACUGAGGGUAGCGGAGAAAUUCCAAUCGAACCUGGAGAUAGCUGGUUCUCUCCGAAAUAGCUUUAGGGCUAGCCUCAAGUGAUGAUUAUUGGAGGUAGAGCACUGUUUGGACGAGGGGCCCUUCUCGGGUUACCGAAUUCAGACAAACUCCGAAUGCCAAUCAAUUUAACUUGGGAGUCAGAACAUGGGUGAUAAGGUCCGUGUUCGAAAGGGAAACAGCCCAGACCACCAGCUAAGGUCCCAAAAUAUAUGUUAAGUGGAAAAGGAUGUGGCGUUGCCCAGACAACUAGGAUGUUGGCUUAGAAGCAGCCAUCAUUUAAAGAGUGCGUAAUAGCUCACUAGUCGAGUGACACUGCGCCGAAAAUGUACCGGGGCUAAACAUAUUACCGAAGCUGUGGAUUGUCCGUAGGACAAUGGUAGGAGAGCGUUCUAAGGGCGUUGAAGCAUGAUCGCAAGGACAUGUGGAGCGCUUAGAAGUGAGAAUGCCGGUGUGAGUAGCGAAAGACGGGUGAGAAUCCCGUCCACCGAUUGACUAAGGUUUCCAGAGGAAGGCUCGUCCGCUCUGGGUUAGUCGGGUCCUAAGCUGAGGCCGACAGGCGUAGGCGAUGGAUAACAGGUUGAUAUUCCUGUACCACCUAGUAUCGUUUUAAUCGAUGGGGGGACGCAGUAGGAUAGGCGAAGCGUGCUAUUGGAUUGCACGUCCAAGCAGUAAGACUGAGUGUUAGGCAAAUCCGGCACUCAUAAGGUCAAGCUGUGAUGGGGAGAGGAAAUUGUUUCCUCGAGUCGUUGAUUUCACACUGCCAAGAAAAGCCUCUAGAUAGAUAACAGGUGCCCGUACCGCAAACCGACACAGGUAGUCAAGAUGAGAAUUCUAAGGUGAGCGAGCGAACUCUCGUUAAGGAACUCGGCAAAAUGACCCCGUAACUUCGGGAGAAGGGGUGCUCUUUAGGGUUAACGCCCAGAAGAGCCGCAGUGAAUAGGCCCAAGCGACUGUUUAUCAAAAACACAGGUCUCUGCUAAACCGUAAGGUGAUGUAUAGGGGCUGACGCCUGCCCGGUGCUGGAAGGUUAAGAGGAGUAGUUAGCUUCUGCGAAGCUACGAAUCGAAGCCCCAGUAAACGGCGGCCGUAACUAUAACGGUCCUAAGGUAGCGAAAUUCCUUGUCGGGUAAGUUCCGACCCGCACGAAAGGCGUAACGAUUUGGGCACUGUCUCAACGAGAGACUCGGUGAAAUCAUAGUACCUGUGAAGAUGCAGGUUACCCGCGACAGGACGGAAAGACCCCGUGGAGCUUUACUGUAGCCUGAUAUUGAAAUUCGGCACAGCUUGUACAGGAUAGGUAGGAGCCUUUGAAACGUGAGCGCUAGCUUACGUGGAGGCAUUGGUGGGAUACUACCCUAGCUGUGUUGGCUUUCUAACCCGCACCACUUAUCGUGGUGGGAGACAGUGUCAGGUGGGCAGUUUGACUGGGGCGGUCGCCUCCUAAAAGGUAACGGAGGCGCUCAAAGGUUCCCUCAGAAUGGUUGGAAAUCAUUCAUAGAGUGUAAAGGCAUAAGGGAGCUUGACUGCGAGACUUACAAGUCGAGCAGGGUCGAAAGACGGACUUAGUGAUCCGGUGGUUCCGCAUGGAAGGGCCAUCGCUCAACGGAUAAAAGCUACCCCGGGGAUAACAGGCUUAUCUCCCCCAAGAGUUCACAUCGACGGGGAGGUUUGGCACCUCGAUGUCGGCUCAUCGCAUCCUGGGGCUGUAGUCGGUCCCAAGGGUUGGGCUGUUCGCCCAUUAAAGCGGUACGCGAGCUGGGUUCAGAACGUCGUGAGACAGUUCGGUCCCUAUCCGUCGUGGGCGUAGGAAAUUUGAGAGGAGCUGUCCUUAGUACGAGAGGACCGGGAUGGACAUACCUCUGGUGUACCAGUUGUCGUGCCAACGGCAUAGCUGGGUAGCUAUGUAUGGACGGGAUAAGUGCUGAAAGCAUCUAAGCAUGAAGCCCCCCUCAAGAUGAGAUUUCCCAACUUCGGUUAUAAGAUCCCUCAAAGAUGAUGAGGUUAAUAGGUUCGAGGUGGAAGCGUGGUGACACGUGGAGCUGACGAAUACUAAUCGAUCGAAGACUUAAUCAA
rnacentral:rRNA from 1 species